GAUACUGCGACAGGAAUCCAACUUAGUACGAGAGGAACAGUUGGUUCAGAUACGUGGUUAAUGCGGCUAGCUGAAAAGCUAGUGCCGCGACGCAACCAUCUGUUGGAUUAUGACUGAACGCCUCUAAGCCAGAAUCCAUGCUGGCUAUGCAGUGCUCCUCGCCGCCUCAAUUGUUACUUGCAUGUGUUUUUAGUGCCUCUUGUGCACAACAUGUCACCAACGUCCUCUGCGACAUGCUAAGGGUGAUAAUCGCAAUUUCCCGCAUUUGGGGCGCUACAUCCAUUGCAGACGACUUUGGCGCAAUCAGUUACUGUAAGUGCGAGAGUAGACUUGACCUACGAUCCACUAAGAUUUAGCCUGUGUUGCAUGAUGU
rnacentral:ncRNA from 1 species